AGUGAACGCUGGCGGUAGGCCUAACACAUGCAAGUCGAACGGCAGCACAGUAAGAGCUUGCUCUUACGGGUGGCGAGUGGCGGACGGGUGAGGAAUACAUCGGAAUCUACUUUUUCGUGGGGGAUAACGUAGGGAAACUUACGCUAAUACCGCAUACGACCUACGGGUGAAAGCAGGGGAUCUUCGGACCUUGCGCGAUUGAAUGAGCCGAUGUCGGAUUAGCUAGUUGGCGGGGUAAAGGCCCACCAAGGCGACGAUCCGUAGCUGGUCUGAGAGGAUGAUCAGCCACACUGGAACUGAGACACGGUCCAGACUCCUACGGGAGGCAGCAGUGGGGAAUAUUGGACAAUGGGCGCAAGCCUGAUCCAGCCAUACCGCGUGGGUGAAGAAGGCCUUCGGGUUGUAAAGCCCUUUUGUUGGGGAAGAAAAGCAGCGGGUUAAUACCCCGCUGUUCUGACGGUACCCUAAGAAUAAGCACCGGCUAACUUCGUG
rnacentral:rRNA from 1 species